rnacentral:rRNA from 1 species
GAUGAACGCUGGCGGCGUGCCUAAUACAUGCAAGUCGAUCGAACAGACGAGGAUCUUGCGCCUCUGACGUUAGCGGCGGACGUGUGAGUAACACGUGGAUAACCUACCUAUAAGACUGGGAUAACUUCGGGAAACCGGAGCUAAUACCAGAUAAUAUAUUGAACCGCAUGGUUCAAUAGUGAAAGACGGUUUUGCUGUCACUUAUAGAUGGUUCCGCGCCGCAUUAGCUAGUUGGUAAGGUAACGGCUUACCAAGGCAACGAUGCGUAGCCGACCUGAGAGGGUGCUCGGCCACACUGGAACUGAGACACGGUCCAGACUCCUACGGGAGGCAGCAGUAGGGAAUCUUGCGCAAAGGGCGAAAGUUUGACGGAGCAACGCCGCGUGAGUGAUGAAGGUCUUCGGAUCGUAAAACUCUGUUACUAGGGAAGAACAAAUGUGUAAGUAACUAUGCACGUCUUGACGGUACCUAAUCAGAAAGCCACGGCUAACUACGUG